GUAAGUUUUGGGGGAAAGUGUGUUCCCAAACACAUAUCCUGCUCUCUUGCUCCUCUUUCUAUGGCAAAGGAGGAGAAAUUUCUUCCAGAGACAUAAGCAGGAGGAAGCUGGAGCUCUCUCCUGAGUGAUUGUCAGUUGCAGAGGAGGUGAAUAUCACAGGACAAGCAAGCGUAGGGGAGAAGACUGCCUAAACAUUCUAAAG
rnacentral:lncRNA from 1 species